AGGAACUAGUUGGGAAUUAAACUCUUAUUCUACAACCAUCUCCCAAUCAAAAUAUUUUUCUCCAUCAUAAAAUCCAGAAUAGGAUGAUAUGGUCAAUUUAUCUCUCAUACCUUGAUGAUUAUAGUGUAUAUAUGAUGGCUGAUUGUUCUUCAUUUGGUCUAUCCUUGUAAACUUCUGGUCUAUGAUUUCCUACAAUUCACUCUUAAAUAGAAGCGUUUGGCAUUGUUAGCAAUCAAAAUAAAUGCCCUAUGAAAUUUUAUGGAUCGGUGGAAUCACACUCUCACAAGUCUUGCCAAGCUCUUAUAAGUGUUCUUACCAAAGCAAAAUAGUGGACAGUACAAUUGGUGGUUGAUUCGUAAUACAUGUGAUGGCCUUAUAUCGAGAUUGUAAGGAUCUUUUCUAUACUAAUCUAAAGUAUAUAUGUGGAGCUUGAGAGGCUAAAUAAUAUGAUAGCAAAGAAUAACAAUAAUUUAAUUCAGAAAUUGCAAGAUUAAAAAGUAGUCUCAAGCUAAUCUAUGUCGGCGGCCUAAACUCGUUAGGGAUCUAGUUCAAGCAAGCAACAAUAUCUCAGCACAAGGACUUAGAAGAUGCACACACUUGUGAAUUUUUUUUUCACUUUCUUGUUCUCUCUUUCUUUCUUUUGGCUGUGGAUUUUACUUUUUGUUUUGCAGGUCGUUACCUUUUCCUUUCGUUUUUGGUGCGGCUUUUACUUUUUUUUUUCUUUGCACCUCUUUAUCUUUUUCUAUCUUUAUAUAUUUUUUACUAUUUCAGAAAGUGCCGCAAAGAAUACAAAAUAACUAGAUGACACAGCUUGUACAACGACUAUGUGGUCGUGUGAAUUUGUUCUGCCGUGAUUUAGCUGAAACCUGAAGCCACACUUGAAGAAAAGAAUAUGGCCCUGACUUCUUUAACUAAACAAAAAGACAAACGAAACCAAAAUUGUGACUCGGUACAGGAUUAAUCAAAUCCCUUGUUAGUUUGGCUGAUAAGCCAUGAUAGAAAGUACCGUUAGCUAAUUUAUUGUGAAAGAAAAAUACUACCGAGUAGCUAAC
rnacentral:lncRNA from 1 species